GCUCUUAUAGCUCAGCCGGCAGAGCGCGUCCUUGGUAAGGACGAGGUCACCAGUUCGAAUCUGGUUAAGAGCUCCA
rnacentral:tRNA from 1 species